GUAAUACCGCAUGGUAUAGCAAUUAAAGGAGUAAUCCGCUAUGAGAUGGACCCGCGUCGCAUUAGCUAGUUGGUGAGGUAACGGCUCACCAAGGCGACGAUGCGUAGCCGACCUGAGAGGGUGAUCGGCCACAUUGGGACUGAGACACGGCCCAGACUCCUACGGGAGGCAGCAGUGGGGAAUAUUGCACAAUGGGGGAAACCCUGAUGCAGCAACGCCGCGUGAGUGAUGACGGUCUUCGGAUUGUAGAGCUCUGUCUUCAGGGACGAUAAUGACGGUACCUGAGGAGGAAGCCACGGCUAACUACGUGCCAGCAGCCGCGGUAAUACGUAGGUGGCAAGCGUUGUCCGGAUUUACUGGGCGUAAAGGGAGCGUAGGUGGAUAUUUAAGUGGGAUGUGAAAUACUCGGGCUUAACCUGGGUGCUGCAUUCCAAACUGGAUAUCUAGAGUGCAGGAGAGGAAAGUAGAAUUCCUAGUGUAGCGGUGAAAUGCGUAGAGAUUAGGAAGAAUACCAGUGGCGAAGGCGACUUUCUGGACUGUAACUGACACUGAGGCUCGAAAGCGUGGGGAGCAAACAGGAUUAGAUACCCUG
rnacentral:rRNA from 1 species